rnacentral:rRNA from 1 species
GUCGAGAAUCUUUCACAAUGGGGGCAACCCUGAUGGAGCGACGCCGCGUGGAGGAUAAGGUCUUCGGAUUGUAAACUCCUGUCAUGCGUGAACAAGGUUGCUUGGUUAAUACCUGGGCAAAUUGAUGGUAACGCAAGAGGAAGAGACGGCUAACUCUGUGCCAGCAGUCGCGGUAAUACAGAGGUCUCAAGCGUUGUUCGGAAUCACUGGGCGUAAAGCGUGCGUAGGUGGCGUGGUAAGUCAGAUGUGAAAGCCCAGGGCUAAACCUCGGAACGGCAUCCGAUACUGCCAUGCUAGAGUACAGGAGAUGUGACUAGAAUUCCCGGUGUAGCAGUGAAAUGCGUAGAUAUCGAGAGGAAUACCAAAGGCGUAGGCAGGUCACUGGACAGUUACUGACACUGAGGCACGAAGGCCAGGGGAGCGAACGGGAUUAGAUACCCUUGUAGUCC